UGGCGGACGGGUGAGUAACGCGUGGAAAACCUGCCGUAUACUGGGGAUAACGCUUAGAAAUAGGUGCUAAUACCGCAUAAGCGCACAGCUUCGCAUGAAGCGGUGUGAAAAACUCUGGUGGUAUACGAUGGUUCCGCGUCUGAUUAGCUAGUUGGUGGGGUAAUGGCCUACCAAGGCAACGAUCAGUAGCCGGCCUGAGAGGGUGAACGGCCACAUUGGGACUGAGACACGGCCCAAACUCCUACGGGAGGCAGCAG
rnacentral:rRNA from 1 species